CCUACGGGAGGCAGCAGUAGGGAAUCUUCCGCAAUGGACGAAAGUCUGACGGAGCAACGCCGCGUGAGUGAAGAAGGUUUUCGGAUCGUAAAACUCUGUUGUCAGGGAAGAACAAGUACGGGAGUAACUGCCCGUACCUUGACGGUACCUGGCCAGAAAGCCACGGCUAACUACGUGCCAGCAGCCGCGGUAAUACGUAGGUGGCAAGCGUUGUCCGGAAUUAUUGGGCGUAAAGCGCGCGCAGGCGGCCUUUUAAGUCUGAUGUGAAAGCCCCCGGCUCAACCGGGGAGGGUCAUUGGAAACUGGAAGGCUUGAGUGCAGAAGAGAAGAGCGGAAUUCCACGUGUAGCGGUGAAAUGCGUAGAGAUGUGGAGGAACACCAGUGGCGAAGGCGGCUCUUUGGUCUGUAACUGACGCUGAGGCGCGAAAGCGUGGGGAGCAAACAGGAUUAGAUACCCUGGUAGUCCACGCCGUAAACGAUGAGUGCUAAGUGUUGGGGGUUUCCGCCCCUCAGUGCUGCAGCUAACGCAUUAAGCACUCCGCCUGGGGAGUACGGCCGCAAGGCUGAAACUUAAANGAAUUGACGG
rnacentral:rRNA from 1 species